rnacentral:rRNA from 1 species
UACGUAGGGCGCAAGCGUUGUCCGGAAUUAUUUGGGCGUAAAGAGCUCGUAGGCGGUCUGUCGCGUCUGUUGUGAAAACUCGAGGCUCAACCUCGGGCUUGCAGUGGAUACGGGCAGACUAGAGUGCGGUAGGGGAGACUGGAAUUCCUGGUGUAGGCGGUGGAAUGCGCAGAUAUCAGGAGGAACACCGAUGGCGAAGGCAGGGUCUCUGGGCCGCAACUGACGCUGAGGAGCGAAAGCAUGGGGAGCGAACAGG